GGAGGGGUCGCAUAGUGGUCUAGUGCGCAUCUUUGGAGAAGAUGUGUGGACGCAAGUUCACCGGGAGUUCGAAUCUCCCUCCCUCCG
rnacentral:tRNA from 1 species